rnacentral:rRNA from 1 species
CCUACGGGGGGCAGCAGUGGGGAAUAUUGCACAAUGGGGGAAACCCUGAUGCAGCGACGCCGCGUGAGUGAAGAAGUAUCUCGGUACGUAAAGCUCUAUCAGCAGGGAAGAAAAUGACGGUACCUGACUAAGAAGCCCCGGCUAACUACGUGCCAGCAGCCGCGGGAAUACGUAGGGGGCAAGCGUGAUCCGGAUUUACUGGGUGUAAAGGGAGCGUAGACGGCAGCACAAGUCUGGAGUGAAAUCCCUGGGCUUAACCCCGGAACUGCUUUGGAAACUGUGCGGCUGGAGUGCAGGAGGGGUAAGCGGAAUUCCUAGUGUAGCGGUGAAAUGCGUAGAUAUUAGGAGGAACACCGGUGGCGAAGGCGGCUUACUGGACUGUAACUGACGUUGAGGCUCGAAAGCGUGGGGAGCAAACAGGAUUAGAUACCCCUGUAGUC